rnacentral:snRNA from 1 species
AUUCCAAGAUCGUGGUUUGGAAU